rnacentral:lncRNA from 1 species
CAAGAAAGAGUAGAGUUGUUCCUUCUUUAUCACAUUGGACAAUGGUGAAGGGUCUGUUAGCUAUUUUAUAGUGUCAUUUAAAGGACAGUGUUUAGUUUCUUUCUAGGGUUUGAGAAUUGAAUCUGGAUUUAGACCAUAUAGUUCAGUAAGCCAAUGUUUUCCAACUUUCUUUGGCAAUGGUAUUAGUGUUAUUGUGACUGGAGAACCUAAUGUUGGACGAUUAGUUUUGUUUGGUUUCGUUUUAUUCUGGGUCUUUGCUGCUUCUUUAAUAACUUGUUUCUUUUUCUUCUUUAUUUAUCACCCUAUCUCCUAG